rnacentral:lncRNA from 1 species
AUUAUGCAUAUCACAAAAAAGUAAACUUAGUUGUCAUGGCGCAAUUGUGAUCAAAUAGAAUAUGUAGGGGCAGAAAGUCCACUUGCUUUCUUCACAAAAUUCCUAAGGUUCUCCUUUAAACUGAUCUUGAUUCUCUAUCACAGAAGCGUCUUCUAAUAGCAAACAUACAAAAUAAAGAAAAUAUACAGCAUUCAGUAAAACAUACAACAUUCAAUAAACAAAAGAAGGUAUAAAUAGUUAUAUAAAAUAAAUCAAAUUUUAGUUAUGGUAAAACCGUUGUAAAAACUAUCCUAAAAGGUUUGGGAUGGUUUUAGGAAAUUAUCAAAACAAAAACCAACUUGUUUGGAUCUAAACAUUGGUAGCACCGCAGGGGCAUCUUUAAUUGAAAUUCCUGAAAUUAUUAAGAAAGAUGCUUCUACUUCUUGCUUUGAUUUAAUUUAUGAUUCUAACCCCUGCAACCAAGUUCUUGUUGAGAAUAUUGUUGUAGAAAUAUAUUCGGAUGAGGUUGCAAAGGAAAAUGAGCAAUUAAGGCAAGAAGUGGCUCGCCUUGGCAAGGCUUUGUAUGACAAGAAAUGCAAAGCCAAACAAAUCCAACCUCCAUAGGAUAACACCACUGCGGGAGUGACGAGCCUAUGGAGGGCAAAACCGUGAUUUGUAGGUUAUGCCACAAGGAAGGCCAUAAGUUUUUCCAAUGCAAGGCAAUGACCGGGGAUAAGCAAAGGCAAAAGCUCAAGCAAAAGCCAACAAGCAAAAUUUCCAAUACCUACAUCAACAAGAUGGACAAAAAACCUGCUACACCAUAUUUGAUCAAGAAGAAAAAGAAUGGAAAGGUGAUAGCAAUCAAGGCCAACAAGCAAGCCAACAAAGGAAAGGUGGCCAAACGCAUCUGGGUGCCAAAUGAAAUAAUUACUAGGCAACACCGUGCGCUCCUCGCCCUGACCAUCUAAAGAGGGCUCGCCCUCAUCUACAAUAAGGGGAGUCGAUGACACUUUGUCUAAAAGCACAAAGUACGCCAACUCGUCCUCAAUAUCUGAAGAUGCCUCCUGAUGAGGACACCACUCCCAUACAAACAAUGCAUGGACCGACAACAUGAGCAUGUGCAUGACAACUAAAUCUCUAGGUUCGUUCUUACCAAGUCAAUUGUGUUUUAGAGCUGACGCUUGGUGCCAUGGAUGUUUUGAUGAUUAGGAAUCUUAAAGGACCAGCAAGUACUUGGGAAAGGACAAGAUGUCAAGGAGGAGAAACUAGGAUGUUCACAACAAGAGAAAACCAAGUAUGACUCAACUUUGUCUCCACCUUGGAGUUCAAGACUAGUCUGCACUAAAAUAGACGCCCAUGAUGCAUCCAAAAUCCGAUUAGGUUGGGCUUUAUAUGGAUGGAAGCUAAGGAGGUAAGAUUUCCAACCCAACUAGAACCACCUUAAAAUCAUUCGGAGUCAAGGGAAAUCGUCAAAACAAAACAACAUUCAGAUUCUUUUUUGGUUCUUCGACACCGUCUGUUGUGAUAUUGGGUCGUGUAUCGUGUUGGAGCCCAUUAGGGGAGCGACCAGGGGUCACACAUGUCCCUAAACUCUAUUUUAUCAGCAGUAGUCACCACAUUUGGGUUUGGGUUUUGCUUAGAUCAUGUCUGUCGUCGAACAGUGUCGUCGUUCAUCUGUUUGUGAGACCCCACCUCGUGAUCAAUGCAGUUUUGAUUACGUUCUUCCUGUUCUUGCUUGUGUUCUUGAUUGCGCUUGCAAGGAUAAGCCUUCAUGGAAAGGUCACUCGUAUGUUACAUGUGACAACCAAUGGAGUAGUGGUGUAGUGAUUGCGAGGAUCCGCUCACUCAGAGCCUUGGAUCAUGAACGUAGAAAUCUCCACCCAAUCAAGUUAUCCUACCACACGGAAGAUCAGGCCUUGCUUCCUAUCAAGUGGUAUCAAGAUUUAGGUUGCCUGUGAGGUAUAAUCCUACCUUUAGAUUUGCUUUGUUCAUCCUAUAACCCACAAAAAAGCUAAAGAGAAAAGAGUCCUAACAUUAGAUCAUAUCUUUAAAAUCAUUAGUGUAUCCUGACCUACAAACUUUGCCUUAGCCUUUGCACAAUGCAAACCAUCCUCAUCUGGAUCCUUCUCCUUGACUUUGAAAUCCACGAACAUGAAGAAGGCAUGUGGCACCAUAAAGCUGGUCGCCGGUUCAUGUUGGAGCAAGGAUGGACCUACCCCUCGAUCACAACCCCCUAUAUUUACUAACUCGCUGCCUAAGUGUUCGACGCAGAGCUGUCGAUUGGUGAAAAGGUGAAGUCCGGCUUCGAGGAUGAAGCCUUUGUUCGUAGACUAUCACAGGAGUCGAAGGCCACUUUCCUCAGGAACCGCAGUAGAUGGGCCUUCGACUGGCAAGGGGCCGACCUGCCAAGGCUAACGAAAGGCGAAGGCCACAACAGUGCCCACCAUUAGGCGAGGACCACAUGGUCGCACUCCUAGGUGAAGGCUGUGCAAAUGCGAAGGCUUCAAGACAGCGUCCAGGACUUAGCGACUAUGGACAAGCACUAAACUACUCUAGGCCCACCUAUCAGCGACUGAUGAGGGUGUCGAUUUUGUUGUAACAGGGAAACUUGUACUUGUAGCCCUGUAAUUACCCCAUUGUACAUUGUAUGUCGGGAAUAUAGAUGGUGGCCGGGGGUAAAACUAUACUUAGGUCCACCAACUCCCGGCUACCCCUAUAAAUACCUCUGUCUUAUAGAUGGACAGGACACACUUGACAAGAAAUUUACGCUCCUAGCUUACUUAUAUGUCGUGUCAUCGGUUUUUCAUCCUCACAGUAUCCUAUAUUUUCUGAACAAUAAAGGGCCCAAGUUAACGAAUCUAUUUUAGAAUAGAGACAUAUAUUGUAGCUAUUAAUUCUAUCGGCGAUUUACCGUGACAAUGAAGCAUGCUCUAUGCACUAAUCUGUAAUGGAAUACUGUCGGCGUUUCGACCCCGGGGGGUCCCUGGACCGACGAGUAAAUUGUCGUCGCGUGCCCUAGCCCAGAUGGGUCGGCGCGAGACGGAGCGCGAAGGGGGGGAAAAGCCAGAGGGAGACAGGCGUAAAAGGGGAAACCCGCGACCUUCGUGUUUGUCCCGCGCCUAGGUCGGGUGCGCUUGCAGUAGGGGGUUACAAGCGUCCGCGCGGGAGGGAGCAAGAGGCCUGUGCUCGCGCCGUCCCGUCCUUCCCCGCGCGGCCAACCCUCCGUAAGAGGGCCCUGGACCUUCCUUUUAUAGGCGUAAGGAGAGGGUCCAGGUGUACAAUGGGAGAUGUAGCAGUGUGCUAAUGUGUCUAGCAGAGAAGAGCUAGUGCCCUAAGUACAUGCCAUCAUGGCAGCCGGAGAGGUUUUGGCACCCUGUUCGUGUGGUGUCGUGGCCGUCGGAGGAGCGCUGGAGCCUGGCGGAAGGAUAUCUGUCGGGGCUGUCGAGUCCUUGCUGACGUCUCCUUGCUUCCAUAAGGGGGCUGAGAGCCGCCGUCGUCAUGGAGCAUGUGGUGCGCCAUCAUUACUUGUUUACCAGGGCGAGCCAGAUGGGACGCCGGUCUUGUUCCCCGUAGCUUGAGUUAGCUUGGGGUAGGGUAAUGAUGGCGCCUCCUGUGACGUGGUCGGUCCGAGCCCUGGGUUGGGCGAGGCGGAGGCUCCUCCGAGGUCGAGGUCGAGUUUGUCUUCCGAGGCCGAGGUCGAGUCCGAGCCCCUGGGUCGGGCGAGGCGGAGACCAUCGGCUGAGGCCAGGGCUAAGUCCGAGCCCUGGGGUCGGGCGAGGCGGAGUUCGUCGUCUUCCGGGGCCGAGCCCGAGUCCGAGCCCUGGGAUCGAGCGAGGCGGAGUUCGUCGUCUUCCGGGGCUGAGCCCGAGGUCGAGCCCUGGGAUCGGGCGAGGCGGAGAUCGUCGUCUUCCGGGGCUGAGCCCGAGUCCGAGCCCUGGGGUCGGGCGAGGCGGAGUUCGUCGUCUUCCGGGGCUGAGCCCGAGUCCGAGCCCUGGGGUCGGGCGAGGCGGAGUUCGUCGUCUUCCGGGGCUGAGCCCGAGUCUAAGCCCUAGGGUCGGGCGAGGCGGAGCUUCCUAUGGCGCCCAGGGCCGGACUUGGCCGCUGUCAGCCUCACUCUGUCGAGUGGCACAGCAGUCGGAGUGGCACAGGCGGCGCUGUCCUCUUGUCAGGCCGGUCAGUGGAGCGGCGAAGUGACUGCGGUCACUUCGGCUCUGUUGACUGAAGGGUGCGCGUCAGGAUAAGGUGUCAGGCCAUCCUUGCAUUAAAUGCCCCUGCGAUACGGUCGGUCGUCAUGGCGAUUUGGCCAAGGUUGCUUCUUGGCGAAGACUGGGCCUCGGGCGAGCCGAAGGUGUGUCUGUUGCUUGAGGGGGCCCUCGGGCGAGACGUAAAUCCUCCGGGGUCGGCUGCCCUUGCCCGAGGCUGGGCUCGGGCGAGGCGAGAUUGUGUCCCUUGAGCGGACCGAGCCUUGACUUAAUCGCACCCAUCAGGCCUUUGCAGCUUUGUGCUGAUAGGGGUUACCAGCUGAGAUUAGGAGUCUUGGGGGUACCCCUAAUUAUGGUCCCCGACAGUAGCCCCCGAGCCUCGAAGGGAGUGUUAAUACUCGCUUGGAGGCUUUUGUCGCACUUUUUUGCAAGGGGACCGGCCUUUCUCGGUUGCGUUUUGUUCUGAUGGCUGCGCGCGAGCGCACCCGCCGGGUGUAGCCCCUGAGACCUCGGAGGAGUGGUUUGACUCCUUCGAGGUCUUAAUGCGUUUCGCGAUGCUUCGGCCGGUCCGGUUGUUCCCUCAUGCGAGCUGGCCGUAGCCCGGGUGCACGGUCGGGUCCCAAGUUCUCGGGCUGGUAUGUUGACGCUGUCAACGGUUUGGCCGGAGCCGGGUUUGCGAGAGCAGCCCUUGAGCCUCCGCACAGAGCGAGAGGACGGUCAAGGACAGACUCGACUUUUUUACAUACGCCCUUGCGUCGCCUUUUCGCAAGGAGGAGGGGGGGAAAGCGCCAUGUUGCCCUUGGAGGGUGCCGAACAUGGUGUCUCCAGUGAGCUGCUAACGGGUAAUCCGAGUGGACGCCCAUGCCCCAUUUGUUAGGGGUCGGCUAGUGGCCCGGAGGCGCGCUCCAAAAGUACCUAUGGUGAUUUGCCGGACCCGGUCCCCUUUUGACGUGGUCCGAUGGCUCGAUGCCUCCCUCUGAUGGGAUUCCGUUACAAAAUCGUUCCCGUUGGUCUCGGAAAUGUCCUAGGGUACCUCGGGAGCGUAGCCCGAGCCUUGGUUAUGUAUCGAACGUACCCAGGGUCAUCGCUCGCUCUGUGUCUGAGGCGGCUGUCGAACCCUUUUGGGGGCCAGCCUACGAACCCCUGAUCAGUAAUGGGUGCGGAGCCCGAGUGGCCUGAGGCGGCCGUUGAACCCUUCCGAGGGGCCGGCCUUCGAACCUCUGACCAGUAGUGGGCGCGGAGCCCGAGCGCUCUGAGGCGGCUGUUGAAUCCCUCCGAGGGGCCAGCCUUCGAACCUCUGAUCAGUAGGGGGGCUCGGGGCCCGCUUCCUUCGCGGAGAAGGAUCCCUUUCGAGGUAUCCCCUUUCCCGGUCCCUAUUGUAAGAGAGAGAAAGAGGAAGAGGAAAAGGAUACGAAAUCGAAUGACGUGGCGCACCUUUUUUGACGUGGUCAUUAUGGCGGAGGUGAAGCGUCGCCUGCUUUGCCUGCCAAAGGCGCCGCAGAGUUAAUGCGACGGGACGAGUGGUUCGUGGGGCAGCCGUUGUGCGUGCGUGAGCCGUUCGAGGAACGGGACACAGGCACGCCGUCUUCACGCCGUAGGAGAGGGUUCUCUCGCUGUCCCAGGAGGGGACGUGAGCGUGGCUGGCGACUUGACCGCUGCUUCCGCCCGCCUGCCACCGCCAUUACUGUCAGCCCAUUUUUGGCCGUAUCGACCGUCACGCCUUCUCCCGCGGCUGACUGACCUGUGACCGAUGUGCCGGGUUGGCACUGUUGGGUCGUGCGCAGGGUUGCCUCGAGUCGCGGUACUGGUUCCGCAGUCGAGGAGGCACGGUAGUGGCGCGAGUGGCGGUGCAGUUUCUUGCACGUAGCAACCGGCGCACCGGUUACAUGACUUGUGGGCCUGGGCCACCAUGCUGGACCCGUUGAAGUCAAAAGGGUGCGCCCCCUUGGUGCGGUCGCAUGCCGCCUGCAUGGCGGUCCGCCCUUUCACCCGCUGGUCUGGGCGAAAGUGGAGGAAUGCUUGUAACCGCUGGGCAGUUGCGCGCACCUCGCGCGGCGGUUUGGCUUCUUCUGCCCUGGGCCAGCUUGCAUGACGCGUGGGACCCAGCCCCCGUGUCGUCGGGGGAGGACCUUGGAGCGUGUUGGAGAAGACUCAGCCCACGAUGGCUGAGAACGCAAGUGGGGAGAGUUGCCUUUAAAAGGAGGGUGACCCCCUUGAAAGGCAACCAUGUCUUCGCGCUCCCCUUAUGCAUCGCGUCUUUCCACCUUCCGAGCCCCCGGAUGGGGAACACUCAUAGUCUUUCCACCUUGUCGUCGGAGGAACGCAACUUCGCGGAAGUUGGUACCUUUCAGCCAUCGUUCGGCUUCAAGGAUUUUCAUCAGGCAGCCCGGCCGCAUCCCCUCACCAGUGGUCACCCAAGACGGUGACCACCAGUUCGAUGGUGGGGAGAAGCGAGCCGGGCUGCGAUCUUGGUCCCGCCCUCAGCUUCAAGGAUCUUCAUCAUCCUUGCUGGGGCGGAGAGCGAGGUGAGCCGGGGCUCUACCUCCCGCACGGGUCGGCUGGCCACCUCUUCUUCCAGCUUCUGGUGGUGGAAACCAUCCUCCAGCUCUACGGAGGAGGCGUCCUCCAGCCAUGCCGGGGAAGGCAAACUGUUGCUGCCCAGCUAGGAUGCAACAUUCCGUCCUCCUCCUCGCUUUCGUGGCGAGGACGGGAGCGAGGACCUGCCGGUGCGCUUUGGAGCGGUCCACGCUCGCCGGUGCGGCGUUGGUGGAGAGGCGGACGCCACCAUCGGUGCUGACGUGGUGGCAGCUGGAGGAAGCUUCCCCACCGUCGAGGCCAUCAGCGCCGCCUACGGACCGACCUCCGGCUCUUUGGCUUUAAUGUCUGGUUCGCAUCCCUUGAGUGGGGACACGAACGAGAGCCUUCUCGUGGCUGCGUCCGUCCUAGGACCAUGGCUGCUGCUGCAGAGGUCGCUAGCGAGUCGCCCGGAGCUUGUCGCCCCAUAGGCCCCCCGGUGUGGAGGUUGUUCAUACCCGCGGGGACGGAACCGGAGUUCCGUUUGUAAUGGCAACUUGAGUGCCGGUGUCUGUUCAUUGUGGCUGUCGGGGCCUGAAUACGUAUGUAUCUUCGGCACGGAGCCAUGUUUUUUCCUCAUUUCGAGCACUAGGACUCGCGUGUCGGCUAACUGAACCGCUUAACCAAGUGUGAGUUGCCUUGUGCGAAGGUGACGAGUGAGGUAUCCGUAUCCCGGAGGCGUAGGAGUCCCUCGGCUCGGUCGGCCUUGCCGCCCGAGGCUUCUCUUGCUUAGUUAAAGGAAACCCUCGGCCGCUCUUCGAUGAGCCAAAGCUGGAGGCAGCGGUGUCAGCACGGACAGAGGCGGAGUUGGCUCGAAAAGAUGACUUCGUUGGCCGAAGCCUGGCCGGGCCGUCCACUGGCGGGACCGACGCCGGAGUCGAGUUGCCGAGGCCACGAGCCGGGCUGAUGUCCUCGGGGGAAGCUGGCUGAGGCUUCAGGGUGGCCGGCCAAGCUGUCUGCUCGAGCCGGAUUCCUGGAGAAGACCCUGGCAGCGAUGGCCCGGGCGCGGUGCUGAUGUCGUCCUUCGGAGUGGAGAUCCUCCGACCGCGUUGCCGUCCGAGGCUAGGUCGGACUUCGCCGAAGGUGUUGUUGACGCCGAGGGUGCUGCUGCUCCCCCUCCGUCGAGGUCCGAGCCUGCAGGAUCGGUUUAUCUUGUAGUGUGCGUAUGUUUUCUGCGGCCGCCGAGGCCCAAACAUACUGUCGGCAUGUUGUAAAGCUGCGUUUCUUUUCCUCUUGUUUCGAGUAUCUGGACUUAUUUGUCGGUAACAGAAUUGUUUGUCCGAGCGAGAGUUACUUUUCACGGAAGGUGAUGAGUGAGGUAUCCGUAUCCCGGAGGCGUAGGAGUCCCUCGGCUCGGUCGGCCUUGCCGCUUACGUGUACUCUUACUAGUCCGUAGGAUUCUACUAUCGAUAUAGUCGAGAAGGCCCGAAAAAUCAUUUCGGCAGAAGAGUUUUCGAGCGUGAAGACUUGUUCGUUCCGCGGAAUCACUUAUCCGAGCGUGAGUUACUUAUCGCAGAAGGUGAUGAGUGAGGUAUCCGUAUCCCGGAGGCAUAGGAGUCCCUCGGCUCGGUCAGCCUUGGUUGCUUACGUGUACUCCGUCGUUUUCAGGAUCCCACUUUCGAAGUAGUCGAAAGGCACGAAAGACAUUCUGGCAGAAAAGAUCUUUUCCGAGGAAAAUUUUGGCGCGGAGGGGGUUCCCCCCUUCUAGCCCCCGAGGGAGGGUCGGGCUUUGCCGAGGCAAGGCUGACCCUUCCUUGAUGGUUAUACUUUGUGUGUGAAUGAGGUGUACGAACGACUUGAAAGCAUCUUAAGGGUAGAAGAGACGUAGCUGUCGGAUGUUCCAAGCGUUGCUGUAGACCUCGCCUUGACUGUUGGCCAGCUUGUACGUCCCGGGCUUCAGAACCUUGGCGAUGACGAACGGCCCUUCCCAGGGAGGCGUGAGCUUGUGCCGCCCUCAAGCGUCUUGUCGCAGCCGAAGCACCAGGUCGCCCACCUGGAGGUCUCGGGACCGAACCCCUCGGGCGUGGUAGCGUCGCAGGGACUGCUGGUACCGCACCGAGUGUAGUAAGGCCAUGUCCCGAGCCUCUUCCAGCUGGUCCAGUGAGUCUUCUCGGUUAGCUCGAUUGCUUUGGUUGUCGUAGGCCCUCGCCCUCGGAGAACCGUAUUCUAAGUCUGUGGGCAAGAUGGCCUCGGCCCCAUAGACUAGAAAGAACGGUGUGAAGCCCGUGGCUCGGCUCGGCGUUGUCCUCAAACUCCAGACCACCGAGGGGAGCUCCUUCAUCCAUCGCCUGCCGAACUUGUUGAGGUCAUUGUAGAUCCGUGGCUUGAGUCCUUGCAGAAUCAUGCCGUUGGCACGUUCUACUUGCCCAUUCGUCAUGGGGUGAGCCACGGCGGCCCAGUCCACCCGGAUGUGAUGAUCCUCGUAGAAGUCCAGGAACUUUCUGCCGGUGAACUGGGUGCUGUUGUCGGUGAUGAUGGAGUUCGGGACCUCAAAGCGAUGGAUGAUGUUGGUGAAGAACGCCACCGCCUGUUCGGACCUGAUGCUGUUUAGGGGUCGGACCUCGAUCCACUUGGAGAAUUUGUCGAUGGCGACCAGCAGGUGCGUGUAGCCCCCGAGUGCCUUCUGCAAGGGGCCGACGAGGUCCAGACCCCACACAGCAAACGACCAGGUGAUGGGUAUCGUCUGCAGAGCCUGAGCGGGCAGAUGGGUCUAUCUUGCGUAGAAUUGACACCCUUGGCAGCUGCGGACAAUUCUAGUGGCGUCGGCCACCACGGUCAGCCAGUAGAAACCUUGUCGGAAGGCGUUUCCAACAAGGGCUCGAGGCGCUGCGUGAUGACCGCAAGCCCCCGAGUGUAUUUCUUGUAAGAGCUCCUGGCCUUCGGCGAUGGAUAUGCAUCGCUGGAGGAUGCCCGAGGGGCUGCGGUGGUAGAGCUCCUUCCCGUCCCCAGCAAGACGAACGACUUGGCGCGCCGCGCCAACCGCCGAGCUUCGGCUCGGUCGAGGGGUAGCUCUUAUCGAUGGAGAUAUUGCAGGUAUGGGGUCUGCCAGUUUCGAUUAGGCGCGACCCCGCUCCGCUCCUCCUCGACGCGCAGUGCCUCACCCUCGGGGGCCGAGGGUGCCUCGGGCUGAGCCAAGGGUGCCUCGGGCUGAGCCGAGGCCUUCUCGGGCUCGGACGCGUCGUCGGUCUUGACGGAGGGUUGAUGCAGGUCUCGGGAGAAGAUGUCCGGGGGAACUGUUGUCCGCCCCGAGGCUAUCUUAGCCAGCUUGUCCGCAGUCUCGUUGUAUCGUCGGGCAAUGUGGUUGAGCUCGAGCCCGUAGAACUUGUCUUCCUGGCGCCGAACCUCAUCGCAGUAGGCUUCCAUCUUUGGGUCACGGCAGUGGGAGUUCUUCAUGACUUGGUCGAUGACGAGCUUCGAGUCACCGCGAGCGUCGAGGCAUCGGACCCCUAGCUCGAUGGCGAUGCACAACCCGUUGACCAGAGCCUCGUACUCGGCCACAUUGUUGGACGCCGGGAAAUGGAGGCGCAGCACGUAGCGUAGGUGCUUCCCGAGGCGCGAGAUGAAGAGCAGGCCCGCGCCUGCCCCUGUCUUCAUCAGCGACCCAUCGAAAAACAUGGUCCAGAGUUCCAGUUGGAUCGGAGCUGUUGGGAGCUGGGUAUCGACCCAUUCAGCCACAAAGUCCGCCAAGACUUGGGACUUGAUGGCCUUCCGAGGGGCGAACGAGAUUGUCUUGCCCAUGAUUUCCACCGCCCACUUUGCGAUCCUACCCGAGGCUUCUCGGCACUGGAUGAUCUCCCCCAGGGGGAAGGACGACACCACAGUUACCGGAUGAGACUCGAAGUAGUGUCGCAACUUUCGCCGUGUCAGGAUCACUGUGUACAGCAGCUUCUGAAUUUGUGGGUAGCGGAUCUUGGUCUCAGAAAGUACCUCACUGAUGAAGUAGACUGGCCUCUGGACGGGCAAUGCAUGCCCCUCUUCUCGUCUCUCAACCACGAUCGCGGCGCUGACCACCUGAGUGGUAGCGGCGACGUAGAUCAAGAGGGCUUCUCCGGCAGCGGGGGGGCACCAAGAUGGGCGCGUUUGUGAGGAGCGCCUUCAGGUUCCCGAGGGCUUCCUCGGCCUCAGGGGUCCAAGUGAAGCACUCGGCCUUUCUUAAGAGGCGGUACAGAGGCAGGCCUCUUUCGCCGAGGCGCGAGAUGAAACGGCUCAGAGCCGCAAGGCAUCCCGUGACCCUCUGUACGCCUUUCAAGUCGUUGAUGGGUCCCAUGUUGGUGAUGGCCGCGAUUUUCUCUGGGUUGGCCUCGAUGCCCCGCACGGAGACGAUGAACCCCAAGAGCAUGCCUCGGGGGACUCCGAAAAUGCACUUCUCAGGGUUGAGUUUUACGCCUUUCGCCUUGAGACACCGGAAUGUCGCUUCAAGGUCGGAAAGGAGGUCAGAGGCUUUCCUCGUCUUGACUAUGAUGUCACCGACGUAAGCCUCGACCGUUCGACCGAUGUGUUCGCCGAACACGUGGUUCAUGCACCUUUGGUAUGUCGCACCCGCAUUCCUCAAACCAAACGGCAUGGUAACAUAGCAGUACAUGCCGAAAGGAGUGAUGAAAGAAGUCGCGAGCUGGUCAGACUCUUUCAUCCUGAUUUGGUGAUACCCUGAGUAGGCAUCGAGGAAAGACAGGGUUUCGCACCCAGCAGUGGAAUCCAUGAUUUGAUCGGUGCGAGGCAGAGGGUAGGGAACUUUUGGACAUGCUUUGUUUAGACCAGUGUAGUCUACACACAUCCGCCAUUUCCCUCCUUUCUUUCUCACAAGCACAGGGUUGGCGAGCCAUUCGGGAUGGAAUACCUCUUUGAUGAACCCCGCCGCCAUUAGCUUGUGGAUCUCCUCGCCUAUGGCUCUACGCUUUUCUUCGUCGAAUCGGCGGAGAGGCUGCUUCACGGGUCGGGCUCCAGCUCGGAUGUCCAGCGAGUGCUCGGCGACAUCCCUCGGUAUGCCGGGCAUGUCCGAGGGACUCCACGUGAAAACGUCAGCGUUUGCGCGGAGAAAGUCGACGAGCACUGCUUCCUAUUUGGGAUCGAGCUCGGAGCCGAUCUGGAUCUGCUUGGAAGCGUCGUUGCUGGGGUUGAGUGGGACGGACUUAACCGUCUCCGCUGGCUCGAAGUUGCCAGCAUGGCGCUUCACGUUUGGCGCCUCCUUGGAGAGGCUUUCCAGGUCGGCGAUGAGGGCCUCGGAUUCGGCGAGGGCCUUGGCGUACUCCACGCACUCCACGUCUCAUUCGUACGCGUGUCGAUACGUGGGGCCGACAGUGAUGACCCCGUUGGGGCCCGACAUCUUGAGCUUGAGGUAGGUGUAGUUGGGGACGGCCAUGAACUUGGCAUAGCAUGGCCUCCCCAACACUGCGUGGUAGGUCCCUCGGAACCCGACCACCUCGAAUGUGAGGGUUUCCCUUCGGAAGUUGGAGGGAGUCCCGAAGCAGACGGGUAGAUCGAGUUGUCCGAGGGGCUCGACGCGUUUCCCGGGGAUGAUCCCGUGGAAAGGCACCGCGCCUGCCCAGACCGAGGACAAAUCGAUCCGUAGGAGCCCGAGGGUCUCGGCGUAGAUGAUGUUGAGGCUACUGCCCCCGUCCAUGAGGACCUUGGGGAGCCUGACGUUGCCGAUGACGGGGUCGACAACGAGCGGGUAUUUCCCCGGGCUUGGCACGCGGUCGGGGUGGUCGCCCUGGUCAAUGUGAUGGGCUUGUCGGACCAGUCUAGGUAGACUGGCGCCGCCACCUUUACCGAGCAGACCUCCCGACGCUCUUGCUUGCGGUGCCGAGCUGAGGCGUUCGCCACUUGCCCACCGUAGAUCAUGAAGCAGUCGUGGACCUCGGGGAACUCUCCUGCCUUGUGAUCCUCCUUCUUAUCAUCGUCGCGGGCCCUGCCACCUUCCACAGGUGGCUCGGCCUUGUGAAAGUGGCACCGAAGCAUGGCGCACUCCUCAAGGGUGUGCUUGACGGGCCACUGAUGAUAGGGGCACGGCUCCUUGAGCAUCUUGUCGAAGAGAUUGGCGCCUCCGGGAGGUUUCCGAGGGUUCUUGUACUCAGCGGCGGCGACAAGGUCCGCGUCGGCGGCGUCGUGUUUCGCUUGCGACUUCUUCCUGCCUUUCUUCUUGGUGCCGCGCUGAGUGGACGCCUCGGGGACAUCUUCCGGCUGGCGGCCCUGGGGCUGCUUGUCCUUCUGGAAGAUGGCCUCAACCGCCUCCUGGCCAUAGGCGAACUUGGUGGCGAUGUCCAUCAGCUCGCUCGCCCUGGUGGGGGUCUUGCGACCCAUCUUACUCACCAGGUCGCGGCAGGUGGUGCCGGCGAGGAACGCGCCGAUGACAUCCGAGUCGGUGACAUUGGGCAGCUCGGUGCGCUGCUUCGAGAAUCGCCGGAUGUAGUCCUGGAGAGACUCUCCUGUCUGCUGGCGGCAGCUUCGGAGAUCCCAGGAGUUCCCAGGGCACACGUACGUGCCCUGGAAGUUGCCGGCGAAGGCUUGGACCAGGUCGUCCCAGUUGGAGAUCUGCCCCGGAGGCAAAUGCUCUAGCCAGGCCCGAGCGGUAUCGGAGAGGAACAGGGGGAGGUUGCGGAUGAUGAGGUUGUCAUCGUCCGUUCCACCCAGGUGGUAGGCCAGCCAGUAGUCCGCGAGCCACAGUUCCGGCCUCGUCUCCCCUGAGUACUUUGUGAUAGUAGUCGGGGUCCGGAACCAGGUCGGGAACGGCGCCCGUCGUAUGGCCCGGCUGAAAGCCUACAGCCCGGGUGGUUCGGGCGAGGGACUCCGAUCCUCCCCGCUGUCGUAGCGUCCCCACGCCUAGGGUGGUAGCCUCAGCACACCUUCUCGUCGAGGUGGGCUUGACGGUUGCGGUGAUGGUGCUCGUUGCCGAGGCGACCUGGGGCCGCAGGCGCUGUGUUGCGCGUGCGCCCGGUGUGAACCGAGGCUUCCCGCAUGAAUCGGGAAGUCGCGGCGCGAUGCUCCGAGGGGUACCCCUACCUUCGGGAGGCAGAGCUUUCAGCCCGUCGGACCGCGGCAUCCUCCAGGAGAUUCUUGAGCUCUCCCUGGAUACGCCACCCCUUAGUGGUUGAUGGUUCCGGCAUCGCGCAGAGAAGUAUUGCCGCUGCAGCCAGGUUCUGGCUGACCCCACUGGAAGCCAGUGGCGGCCUUGCCCUGACAUCGUCGGCGAUGCGGUGCUGGAUGCCCAGGGGUAGAUGACGCGCUUCUCUAGCCGGAGGUUGGCCUGCCCAUUCCAGCCCGAUGUCCCUGUGGAACGGCUCAAGUGUUCCUACUCCCUCGUCGAGCCUGGCCUGUAUCUCGUGGAUUUGCUCGAGCUGUGAGUCCUGACCCCCCACAGGGACUGGGACCACAGCUAGCUCCCGAAGGAUGUCAACGCGAGGCGCAGGCCUAGGGGGAUCACCGUUUUCCGGUAUACCAAGAUGGUUGCCUUCGCCGGGACCCCCUAGAUCGACGUGGAAACAUUCACGACUUGGGUCGUAGUCCUCGUUGUCGAAGCUGCGGCUACCGUCGGAACAAUCGGAAAGGCAGUAGUCGCAUGCGGUCUUGAAGUCCCGCAUGGCACUGGGGUUACCAAGUCCGGAGAAAUCCCAACAAAAGUCGGGGUCGUCAUCUUCCUUGGAACCCGAGGGCCCGUAGGUCGAGACGGCUGUCAACCGGUCCCAGGGUGACUGCAUACCGUACCCCGGAGGGUUUGGACUCGCCUCUAUGAAAGCGUCCACCGAAGCGAAGUCGCUUGGUGGGUCGAGGCUGAAUCCAAAAGGCUCGAGAUGGAAAUCGGUCGGUACCUCUUGGUCGGCGGGCAGUGACGAAGUCACGUCAGAGGCAGACUGCACCGUCGUCUCAGGUAUGAGGGUGACGCCCAACAAGCCCUUCAAGAGCGUGCUGGCGUCAUCCGUUCUCUUGGAGUUGGCGUGUUGCGGGGAAACGGCGCUCGUCUUCGUCUCAGACGCGCGGUCGAUGCCCGACGUGUCCCCCGUUGGGGCGCCGGCGCUGUCGACUCGCUCGACAGCCGACGAGGUGCCGCCUCCUGCUUGGCCUUUGUUGCCCCGCCUCCUCCUCCGUCGACGGGGGAGGCGACGGGACAAACCCGAAUGUUGUUCUUCCGCCACGUGGCGAAGACGUCGUCGAUUCCGCCGCCGGCGGGCGGGUUGUCGGCCGCCAUUGUCGUUGUCGCGUGGCGGGGGAAGGAGUAUCAUGUCGUAGCUGCCAUCGAGGGACAUGAACUCAAGACUCCCGAAACGGAGCACCGUUCCGGGCUGGAAAGGUUGCUGGAGACUACCCAUCUGGAGCUUGACGGGAAGCUGUUCGUCAACACGCAGCAGGCCCCUACCUGGCGCGCCAACUGUCGGCGUUUCGACCCUGGGGGGUCCCUGGACCGACGAGUAAAUUGUCGCCGCGUGCCCCAGCCCAGAUGGGUCGGCGCGAGACAGAGUGCGAAGGGGGGGAAAAAGCCAGAGGGAGACAGGCGUAAAAGGGGAAACCCGCGGCCUUCGUGUUUGUCCCGCGCCCAGGUCGGGUGCGCUUGCAGUAGGGGGUUACAAGCGUCCGCGCGGGAGGGAGCGAGAGGCCUGUACGCGCGCCGUUUCGUCCUUCCCCGCGCGGCCAACCCUCCGUAAGAGGGCCCUGGACCUUCCUUUUAUAGGCGUAAGGAGAGGGUCCAGGUGUACAAUGGGAGGUGUAGCAGUGUGCUAACGUGUCUAGCAGAGAAGAGCUAGUGCCCUAAGUACAUGCCGUCGUGGCAGCCGGAGAGGUUUUGGCACCCUGUUCGUGUGGUGUCGUGGCCGUCGGAGGAGCGCUAGAGCCUGGUGGAAGGACAGCUGUCGGGGCUGUCGAGUCCUUGCUGACGUAUCCUUGCUUCCGUAAGGGGGCUGAGAGCCGCCGUCGUCAUGGAGCAUGCGGGGCGCCAUCAUUACUUGUUUACCGGGGCGAGCCAGAUGGGAUGCCGGUCUUGUUCCCCGUAGCCUGAGUUAGCUUGGGGUAGGGUAAUGAUGGCGCCUCCUGUGACGUGGUCGGUCCGAGCCCUGGGUUGGGCGAGGCGGAGGCUCCUCCGAGGUCGAGGUCGAGUCUGUCUUCCGAGGCCGAGGUCGAGUCCGAGCCCCUGGGUCGGGCGAGGCGGAGACCAUCGGCUGAGGCCAGGGCUGAGUCCGAGCCCUGGGGUCGGGCGAGGCGGAGUUCGUCGUCUUCCGGGGCCGAGCCUGAGUCCGAGCCCUGGGGUUGGGCGAGGCGGAGUUCGUCUUCCGGGGCCGAGCCCGAGUCCGAGCCCUGGGAUCGGGCGAGGCGGAGUUCGUCGUCUUCUGGUGCUGAGCCCGAGUCCGAGCCCUGGGAUCGGGCGAGGCAGAGUUCGUCGUCUCUUGGGGCUGAGCCCGAGUCCGAGCCCUGGGGUCGGGCGAGGUGGAGUUCGUCGUCUUCCGGGGCCGAGACCGAGUCCGAGCCCUGGGGUCGGGCGAGGCGGAGUUUGUCGUCUUGCGGGGCCGAGCCCGAGUCCGAGCCCUGGGAUCGGGCGAGGCGGAGUUCGUCGUCUUCCGGGGCCGAGCCCGAGUCCGAGCCCUGGGAUCGGGCGAGGCGGAGUUCGUCGUCUUCCGGGGCUAAGCCCGAGUCCGAGCCCUAGGAUCGGGCGAGGCGGAGUUCGUCGUCUUCCGGGGCUGAGCCCGAGUCCGAGCCCUGGGGUCGGGCGAGGCGGAGUUCGUCGUCUUCCGGGGCUGAGCCCAAGUCCGAGCCCUGGGGGUCGGGCGACGCGGAGUUCGUCGUCUUCCGGGGCUAAGCCCGAGUCUGAGCCCUAGGGUCGGGCGAGGCAGAGCUUCCUAUGGCGCCCGGGGCCGGACUUGGCCGUUGUCAGCCUCACUCUGUCGAGUGGCACAGCAGUCGGAGCGGCGCAGGCGGCGCUGUCCUCUUGUCAGGCCGGUCAGUGGAGCGGCGAAGUGACUGCGGUCACUUCGGCUCUGUCGACUGAAGGGCGCGCGUCAGGAUAAGGUGUCAGGCCAUCCUUACAUUAAAUGCCCCUGCGAUACGGUCGGUCGUCGUGGCGAUUUGGCCAAGGUUGCUUCUUGGCGAAGACUGGGCCUCGGGCGAGCCGAAGGUGUGUCCGUUGCUUGAGGGGGCCCUCGUGCGAGACGUAAAUCCUCCGGGGUCGGCUGCCCUUGCCCGAGGCUGGGCUCGGGCGAGGCGAGAUCGUGUCCCUUGAGCGAACCGAGCCUUGACUUAAUGGCACCCAUCAGGCCUUUGCAGCUUUAUGCUGAUGGGGAUUACCAGCUGAGAUUAGGAGUCUUGGGGGUACUCCUAAUUAUGGUCCCCGACAAAUACGAAAUAAUUAAAAAUGUAUAAAGUUAAAAAUAUAAGAUGGCAUCAAGGGAAAAAUAUUAGAAUUAAUCUCCACUAGUAUGACCAAUGCCAAUUGGGCCUUUGACGACAUCGCGACCUGGGGGCGUUUAGCAUAAGACAAGGCUGGUGGGCUCCCGUUGCGUAGCCCUAUACAAGACAAGGAGUGGGGACUAGUGGCUUAGGUUAAGAGGUUGGGAGCAGCUGCCUACAGUUCUCCACCUGAAACCCUAGACCGAUUUAGAUCGAGCGAGAUUGUCAAUAAUUGGAAGUUCAUUACCUUCACCGCCACUACUUCGAGCUUGUUUCCCUAACCGUUGCUACCAUAACGCAGAGUUUUACCGACAAACAAAAUGGUGUGACGCCAAGAUUUAAUCAAUUUAUCAAGGAUUCCAAAGUUAAUAUGGAUUGUUAUAAAAUUAACCUAUGACUGAACAUAGUAAUCAUGCAUGUCGUGCAACAAAAAAAAAUGGCAACACGUAUUUUAACACUCACUCUAUAUAUUAGGAUUGCUGUCACUAUCGUUGACAUCUACUCGUGCCUCGAGCAAGGCCAUCCAAGUUUCCAUAUAGUAAGAAAGCUAGAAUAUAUGCUGCUAUCCAAUUAGAGAAUAAGAUGUCCUGGAACAACAACAAAAAAAAGGAAAAAAUGAUACGGUUCUCUCUACGAGAUACAUGUAUAAAUAGAUGUUCCAUGGAAGGAGCACAACAGACCAGUCACAGAAGCUACCAAGCUAGCUAGAGGUGACAAGCAGAGCAGAAGCCUUACAUGUCAAUAAGGGCCUGCCUCUGAUAGCCAAGGAUGACUUGCCUAUGUCCUUUGUUUACAAAGGAUCAGAAUUGUGGACCUUUGUGUUGGUUCGUAGGCAGUCUCCUUGGCUAGCCUGAGUGGCCCCUAUUGCUCAUGCUAGGCUCAAUCGAGACUCUUUGACUUGCUGCACACAAUUAGACACAGGAGCCUCCUCGACCUGUGCAUGGGUGCAUACAAUUACCGUGUGAUUGGUUGCCCAGCUCUCAACGCCUAGGCUCCUCACGAGUGUUGACUGCGCCUGCAUUUCUGAUUGGUUGGCUGCACGGCUGCGCCCGGAAUGUGCGGGUGCAAGCAAAUCUAUUUUACGCUCCUCGGCGGCUGCCGGCAACCAAUCAAGAGGUUAGACACGACCUUUGUCAUAUGCAUGUAGCUGUGUUUCAGUGUCCAUGCAUGCUCCAUUCCUAGCAUUUUCUGUUUGAAAGGGCAGUAUAGCGUGCCAGUUUCUCUGGAAACAAUCAGCAGCACACAAUGUUCUUGACCUGAUUUUUUUAUCUAUGCAUGCACAUGCACGCUGCAGAAUACGUACGGAUCUAUAGUAUGACCAGCAUUUUGAAACAGCAUCAUGCCUUAAUUGGUUCUCUCAGCUUUUGCUAUUUCAGUCACAUGAACUUUUUUAUCUUUCAGAGCCAGUUGAUCCCUUAAACCCGGAAACUUUUGCAAGAACAUAUAUAGAUCGCUAAACAGGACCUGAUAUAACUGCAACUUUUAGCUAGUUUACCUGCAUCAUGUCUUUGUUCAUCUUGGGGGUGAAAAACAGCUAGCAUCCAGUUUUAACUUGUGGUCUUUUGCCAUGUGCGUUAAUAAAAACGAAAGGGCCUAAAGUAGAGCAGAUUAACAUUUCGGUGUCUCGCCAAUUUGCAGAAAGAUGCUUCAGGCGGAGAGUUUCACUGCUCAUCGUGUCUACUGAUCUAUUGUUAUGUUGCUCGCCAGCCCCUUUGGUCACCGAAGUCCAAACCCUAAAGCUGUUCAACAAAGAGUUGUACUCCCUCCCUCGGUUCCAAAAUAAAAUUCGUUUUAACUUUUUAAUUGAUUCAUACAAUAAUUGAUAUAUUUGUUAUAUAUAUAUAUAUAUAUAUAUAUAUAUAUAUAUAUAUAUAUAUAUAUAUAUAUAUAUAUAUAUAAAACUAAUAUUUUAGAACGGGGGAGUAACAUUUACAAACUCACACAAGUCACAUGAGAUGAGAUCCAAGAAAGAGGUGUAUGUUAUGUGACAUUCCAAGAGCUAGAAAUGUAUUUUAAAAGUUCAUGGAUCUAAGUUACAUCCCUUGACAAAUUUAGUUCCGUUUAUCAAUUGAACUCAUAUUAAAAUCAGAUGAUCUAAUCUCAUGCCACCAUCAAAGAAGGCACUUGCCAUAUAGACAUGGGUAUUUUCAAAUGUAUACCAAGUAAUACAUAUAAUUAUAAAUUCAUGUAUAUGUAGCAAUCCACUCGCUCGCGGCAGCUAGGGCUAGACAAAAUACUCAUGACUCAUUAGCUUGGUCUGCCUCGACUCGACUUGUUUCAGUUUUGUCACGAACUAAGCUAGCAUCUAAUCUUGGUUUGUUAACGAGCUACCAUUUGUCAGCAAAACAAAUCCUCCAUAUAUAUUGGGUGAACUAAAAAGUGAUUGGAUGUAUUAAUUUGGUGUUGAAUUGAUGAGAUAUAUGAAAUUACGUGUGUACCCUUUUCUAGUGUUGUUGGCGUUUCGACCCCGGGGGGUCCCUGGACCAAAGAGUAAAAUUGUCGCUGCGUGCCCCAGCCCAGAUGGGUUGGCGCGAGAUGGAACACAAGGGGGGAAAACCGCGGCUCGUGUUAUCCUGCGCCAGGGGGAUGCGCUUGCAGUAGGGGUUACAAGCGUUCGCGAGGGAGAGAGAGAGAGUGAGCAUGUUCGUCAGCCCGUCCUCCCGCGCGACCCUCCUGCAUGAGUGCCCUAGACCUUCCUUUUAUAGAAGCCAGGAGAGGGUCCAGGUGUACAAUGGGGGUGUAGCUAUGCGCUAACGUGUCCGGCAGAGAGGUGACAGAGCCCUGUGUACAUGCCAACGUGGCUGUCGGAGAGGUGCUAGAGCCCUGUGUACGCGGUGUCGUGGCCGUCGGAGGAGCGCCCGAGUCCUGUAGAAGCACAGCUGUCGGGGCCCCUGGGAUGUUGCUGAUGUCUCCUUGCUUCCGUAGGGGGCUGAGAACCACCGUCGUCAUGGACGCACGCGGGGAGCCAUCAUUACCUACUACCAGGGCAAGCCUGGAUGGGACGCCGGUCUUGUUCCCCCAUAGCCUGAGCUAGCUAGGGGUAGGGUAAUGAUGUAUCCCCCGCGGUGCGGUCGGUCCGAGCCCAAGGUCGGGCGAGGCGGAGACUCCUUCUGAGGCCGAGGCCAGGGUCGAGUGAGGACGUGAUUCCUCCCGAGGUCGGGGUUGAGGCCGAGCCCUGGGGUCGGGCGAGGCGGAGACCUCCUCCUGAGGCCGAGGCCCAAGGUCGGGCGAGGCGGAGCUUCCUGUUGCGCCUGAGGUUGGACUUAGCUGUUGUCAGCCUCACCCUGCGGGUGGCACAGCAGUCGGAGAGGGGCGAGCGGCGCUGUUUUCCUGUCAGGUCGGUCAGUGGGAGGGCGAAGUGACUGCGGUCACUUCGACCUUGCCGACUGAGGCACGUAUGUCAGGAUAAGGCGUCAGGCGAUCCUCGCAUUGAAUGCGCCUGCAAUACGGUCGGUUGGUGAGGCGAUUUGGCCAAGGUUGCUUCACAACGAAGCCUGCCCGAGCUGGGCUUCGGGUGAGUCGAGGGUGCGCCCGUUGCUUGAGGAGGCCCUCGGGCGAGGCGUGAAUUCGCCUGGGACUACUGUUCCCGCCCGAGGCUGGGCUCGGGCGAGGCGAGAUCGCGUCCCUUGAGUAGACGAAGCCUUGACCUGAAUUGCGCCCAUCAGUCUCUGCAGCUUGUGCUGAUGGUGGUUACCAGUCGUGUUUAGGACUGUUGGGGGUACCCCUAAUUACGGUACCCGAUAGUAGCCCCCGAGCCUCGAAGGGAGUGUUGGUACUCGCUUGGAGGCUUUGCCGCACUUUUUUGCAAGGGGACCGGCCUUUCUCGGUUACACUUUGUUCCGGUGGGUGUAGCCCCCGAGGCCUCGGAGGAGGGGUUUGACUCCUCUGAGGUCUUAAUGCUUUUCGUGAUGCCUCGGCCGGUCUGGAUGUUCCCUCAUGCGAUCUGAUUGUAGCUCGGGUGCAUGGUCAGGUUCCGAGUUCUCAGGCUGGUUUGUUGACGCUGUCAAUGGUUUGGCCGUAGCCGGGUUUGCGAGAGCAGCCCCCGAGCCUCUGCACGGAGCGAGAGGACGAUCAAGGACUGUCUCGACUUUUAUCAUACGCCCCUCCGUCGCCUUUCCGCAAGGAGGAAGGGGGGAAGCGCCAUGUUGCCCUCGGAGGGCGCCGAACAUGGUGUCUCCAGUGAGUUGCAAACGGGUGAUCCGAGUGGACACCCGUGCCCCGUUCGAUAAGGGUCGGCUAGUGGCCUAGAGGCGCGCUCCAAAAGUACCUGCAGGUGAUUUGUCAGACCUAGUCCCGUUCGAUAGGGUCCGAGGGUUCGAUGCCUCCCUCUGGUGGGAUUCCGUUACAAAAUCGCUCCUACUGGUCUCGGAAAUGUCCUAGGGUACCUCGGGAGCGUAGCCCGAGCCUCGGCCAUGUAACGGACGUACCCAGAGUCAUCUCUCGCUCUGCGUGCUCUGGGGCGGCUGUCGAACCCUUCCGAGGGGCCAGCCUUCGAACCACUGAUCAGUAGUGGGCGCGGAGCCCGAGUGCUCUGAGGCGGCUGUCGAACCCUUCCGAGGGGCCAGCCUUCGAACCUCUGAUCAGUAAUGAGCCUGAAGCCCAAGUGCUCUGGGGCGGCUGUCGAACCCUUCCGAGGAGCCAUCCUUCGAACCCCUGAUUAGUAGGAGGGCUCGGGGCCCGCUUCCUUCACGGAGAAGGAUCCCUUUCGAAAUAUCCCCUUUCCCGGUCCCUGUAGCAAGAGAGAGAAAGGGGAAGAGGAAAAGGAUAUGAAUUUAAACGGUGUGGCACACCUUUUUUGACGCGGUCAUCAUGGCGGAGGUGAAACGACGCCUGCUUCGCCUGCCAAAGGUGGCGCUUGCCCUGCCAAGGAGUUAAUGCGAUGGGACGGGCGGUUCGCGGGGCAGCUGUUGCGCGUGCGCAAGUCGUUCGAGGAACGGGUGUUUCGCCUUCGAGUUUGAAUUUCGCGGCGGGUUCGGGCGAAGUGUUGAACGGAUCUCGCCCGGGCCUUUAUAUACCCGGAAGAGGGGCCGGCGGUGGUUCUUUACUCCGCUGCUCGCCUUCUGCUUUAGUUUCCGCAACCUAAGAGAAUAGCCAGAGAAAAGAAAAUCAUGCACCUUGUCCCCUCCGCCUCCACCCCCUUCGUUCGGCGAUGGCCGACAGGGUGACCGUCGUUUCGCCGCGCGAUCUGUGGCCUCUCUCCACCGUCACGGUGGACGAUCUGGAGGCCCUCGUCACCGAUGGUUUGCUCUGUCCCCUCUCCGGUGACCCGCAGCCAGAGUGGAUGGUCCCUACGAACGAGGCCAUCCCGACUCCGCCGCCGGGGUAUGUGGUUAGUUUCGUCUCCUUCCACGAGCGGGGGUUCGGAGUGCCAGCGAGCCGUUUCAUGCGGGCGCUCCUGCACUACUACGGGGUGGAGCUGCACAACUUCAACCCCAACUCCAUUGCGCAAGCGGCCAUCUUCGCGGCGGUUUGCGAGGGUUUUUUGGGGAUUGACCCCCACUGGGAUCUUUGGACCCAUCUCUUCUCCGUGGAGCUUUUUGCCUUGACGACAAGGGAAAAGAAGGUCCGCGUGGUGGUGCGGGCCGGUGGCUGCACCCUCCAGUUGAGGCAGGGGCGCGCGCAGCAGUACAUCCCCGCCAUCCUUGUGUCUUCGAACAAGGGGUGGCAGCGCCGGUGGUUUUACCUCUAGAACAACAACGAAAGGCUCCCGUCGUUUUCUCAACGAGUGGUGACUGCCGAUGGCAGCAACUGGCGCUGGGGGGCCAUGCGCGAGAAACAGGAGAAACUCCAGCCCCUUCUGGAGGCCUUGCAGAAGUUACCAGAUGGGGGGCUCACCGCCGUGGGGGUGGUUGCCGCCAUCCAUCGCCGGAGGGUGCUUCCCUUGGCAGAGCGGCGGUUGCCGCUUUCGGAGAUGAAGCCGGGGGUUGACUUGGAGGGUUCGCAGACGUCCUCGGCCUCCCUCUCUGUCGACGACCUGCGUAGGCGGGUAGCGGGCACGGUAGGGAGGCUGGAUGCCGGUGCCCUUACCCUGCCCGUAUUGCGUCCCGAGCAUGGGUACGUGUCCCUGGUGAGUGUCCGCUCCUUCUCCUAUCUUGUGCCGGGUUGCCUUUGAUUCUUACCGUCGGGAUUUCCGUUUGUCUCUAGGAGUUGGGGUUUUACAAGCCCUCUCUGCCACCGGUCCCGGAGGAUGCGGUGGACCGAGCCGCGCGGAGGGUCGCCGCGGAGAAGAAGAAGGAGAAGAAGGACACGGAAAGGCCCGGGCUCGUGAGCGGAUGCGGGCUCGGGACGCCUUGGAGAGGCGCCGUCGGAGGCAGGAGAGGGACGGGCUCCCGAGGGAGCCGUCGCCGGAGACGCCUGACGACGAUGAUGAUGACGAUGAUGACGAGGACGACGACAUGGCGGCCCGCCUUGGCCUUAGCCCAGAUCUGAGGCUAGGCCAGGGGUCGUUGAUCCAGCCUCCAAGUGGGCUGGAGCCAUCGGUAUCUGGGGCCGGGACAUCAAGGUCCCAGUCCGAGGAGCGGGGACAGGCUGAGGGGGUACUUGACCCCUUGGCCGAGGUAGUUGAGGUGACUCCGGGGAGUCAAGCCAACCCGCCUGUCCCCCAAGAGCAGUCGCCCAUGCCGGCUGUACAGGAGGUUGAUCCUCGGGCCGUCGUGAUGGCGCCUGGGCAGGCCAUCCCUUCGGCGCCCCGGGCGUCCGAGGCGGGAACGGCGCCGAAGCCGGCAGCGGGGCAAACCUCGGCAGUGCCUGCGGGGACCGAGGCCCGAGGGGCCUCCCCGCAGGCACGAUUGGCCUUGGUCCGGAGCGGGUAAGUAUCUGAGGAUAGCUCUGUUUUGGCUCUUUCUCCGUGUGUCCUGAUCCUGCUUUAUCUCUUCCUUUCAGCAAACGGAGGCAAGGUUCGGCCGGUCUGGCCCCCCGGAAGGCCCUUAAGACAGUGCCGGCCUCUGCAGCCAGUGCCGCAGCGCGCCACGCUGGUUGGCUGGCCUCCGCACAAGACGCCCUCGAGCGGGGGGCCCAGGCGGCACGAGUUGCCUUGGGGCAAGCCUCCUAGGCUGACCCCUUCAUCGGGGCGGCCAUCGUGUUGGGGGAGCCUGCUGGCGUGGCCGCGGCCCCGAGCCCACCUGACGUGUUGCCGGCACCGGCACCAGCUCCUGCCGAGGCCGUCGCUGUUUUGCCCAUGGAGCCACCCGUCGCUGUUGAUGCCAGGAUGGCUGAGGUGCCGCUGCUCGAGGUCAUCUCCGACCUUCCCAGUCUCGGCCAUAAGGAGAGGGCGGCCGCCGUUGCCGAGGUCGGUGAUCGGAAGCCCGCCUCCUUAGCCGAGGGGAGGCCCAGUACGUCGUCAGCGAUGGUACCCGAUGCGUCGACUGCAGGGGGUCCCGACGCCUUGGAGGAGGGGCACGCAGAACCGCGACCCUUCUUGGGGUGCGGCGACCUUAUCCCCGUGCGGUGCGACCCCAAUGAGUGGUGUGGGCAGGCGCUCCGGUUCUGGACCCGUGGCGCCUCGAAACCCCUCUUUGUCCUUGACGACGAGCGGGAGGAGCAGUCUCGGGACGAGCUCCGUGAGUAUGCCGAGGCGGCGAUGGGGUUGCUUCGGUCGACCAUGGAGAUCCUUUCCAGGGACGUUCCCAGGGUCCUCCAGGUAAGGAUUUUAGGCAUACCUUUCGCGUGACUAGGGCAUUCUUUGUAACACCCUGCUUCCCUUCCUCAGGCACUGACGGAUGUGAGCACCGCCAAGUCGUUGUUCAUCCGCCGCGAGACCGACGUCUGGGGUUCGCUGCGGUUCCUGAGGGUCGCGCUUGCCGAGGCUAAUGAACGCCUCGCCCAACGGAGCACCAAGGUGGCGGACCUUCGGCUACUCUGUGAUGAGCUGGAGGUGGAGGCAGACGUGGCGCGAGCAGAGGCGGUGUCGGCACGAACGGAGGCACAUCAGCGGCAGUUGGAGCUUGGCCAGGUCAUUAGCGAGCGGGACCAAUCUCGGAGCCAGGCUGCCGAGGCUGUAGGCCGGGCUGAGGCCCUUGGGGGUCAGCUAACCGAGGUGUCUGCUCGGGCCGGAGCCCUUGCGGAGGCCUGGCCGUGGCCGUCGGGUCUGCUCAGUCCGCCCAAGCCGCAGCCUCGGAGCAGCGUGCCCGGGCUGAAGGUAUGUUUCGGUCGCUUUGUGACUUCGAUUCAGCUUCAUUCUUCAACUCGUGUCUGAAGAAUUCUGUUUGGCUGUCUGCAGAGUUCGAGAUAGAUCUUAACGAGUCCGUCAAGGCACUUGCCCAGGCGGCUGAGCAGAAGGAGGCCGACCGCGUGGCCAUGUCCGAGGCUAUCUCGGUCUUUUGCCAGGUCUUUGGCCUCGAUGACGUCCCCUCGGGUAGCUCCCCCCAGAGUCGCCUGCGGGCCUUGGGUGGCCAUGUGCGCAACAGACUCCGCGGGGCGCUGCAUCACAGCGUUAGGUGGGCCUUCGCCGUGCUCGCUUCCCACUACGACAUGGAUCUGGAGCGGGUCAGCGAGGGGUACUGUCUACCCGACAAAGAUGAGGCUGCCUUAGCCGAGGUUCAGAGGCUUGACGCGGCCAUCACGGGCCCAAGCGCGGAGUUGGCGUCCUCCUUCGAGGUGGAGAUCCUUCCACUUGCGUCGCCAUCUGGGGCCGGGACAGAUCUCGCCGAGGGUGGAGACGAUGUCGAGGGUGCCGCUCCUCCCCGAGGCGAUGUCUGAUUCUACCGGAGCAGUCUGUUUGGAGCAUGCAUGUGUUUAUCAUGGCCGCCAAGGCCUAAACACCUUAUUGUCGUGUUAUAAAGCUGUGUUUCUUUUCCUCUCGUUUCGAGUAUCCGGACUUGUUCGUCAGUAGCAGAAUCGCUUAUCCGAGCAAGAGUUACUUUUCGCGAAAGGUGACGAGUGAGGUAUCUGUAUCUCGGAGGCGUAGGAGUCCCUCGGCUCGGUCGGCCUUGCCGCUUAUGUGUGCUCUUACUCGUUUUGCAGGAUUCUGUUAUCGAUAUAGUCGGAAAGCACGAAAGUCGUUUUGGUAGAAAACUUUUUCGAGGAAAAUUUUGACGUAGAGGGGGUUCCCCCUUCUAGCCCCCGAGGGAGGGUCGGGCUUCGCCGAGGCAAGGCUGACCCUUCCUUGACGGUUAGACUCUAUUUGUGUAUGUAAAGAGAACGAGGUAUAUGAACGACUUGAAACAUCUUAAGGGUAAAAGCGACGUAGUUGUCGGAUGUUCCAAGCGUUGCUGUAGACCUCGCCUUGAUCGUUGGCCAGCUUGUAUGUUCCGGGCUUCAAAAUCUUGGCGAUGAUGAACGGCCCUUCCCAGGGAGGAGUAAGCUUGUGGUGCCCUCGGGUGUCCUGCCGCAGCCGAAGUACCAAGUCUCCCACCUGGAAGCCUCGGGCCGAACCCCUCAGUCGUGGUAGCGUCGCAGAGACUGCUGAUACCGCGUCGAGUGUAGUAAGGCCAUGUCCCGAGCCUCGUCGAGCUGGUCUAGUGAGUCUUCUCGGCUGGUCUGGUUGCUUUGGUCGUCGUACGCCCUUGUCCUCAGGGAACCGUAUUCUAAGUCUGUGGGCAAGAUAGCCUCGGCCCCAUAGACUAGAAAGAACGGUGAGAAACUCGUGGCUCGGCUUGGUGUCGUCCUCAGACUCCAGACCACUGAGGGUAGUUCCUUCAUCCACCGCUUGCCGAACUAGUUGAGGUCGUUGUAGAUCCUCGAUUUAAGUCCCUGCAGAAGCAUACCGUUGGCACGCUCCACCUGCCCAUUCGUCAUGGGGUGAGCUACGGCGGCCCAGUCCACAUAGAUGUGGUGGUCCUCGUAGAAGUCCAGGAACUUAUUCCCAGUGAACUGGGUGCCAUUGUCGGUGAUGAUGGAGUUCGGGACCCCAAAGCGAUGGAUGAUGUUGGUGAAGAACGCCACCGCCUGCUCGGACCUGAUGCUGGUUAGGGGUCGGACCUCGAUCCACUUGGAGAAUUUGUCAAUGGCGACCAGCAGGUGCGAGAAGCCCCCGGGUGCCUUCUGCAAGAGACCAACGAGGUCCAUACCCCACACAGCAAACGGCCAGGUGAUGGGUAUUGUCUACAGGGCCUGAGCAGGCAGGUGUGUCUGUCUCGCAUAGAAUUGACACCCUUGGCAGGAGCGUACAAUCCUAGUGGCGUCGUCCACCACGGUCGGCCAGUAGAAGCCUUGUCGGAAGGCGUUCCCAACGAGGGCUCGAGGUGCUGCAUGGUGACCGCAAGCCCCCGAGUGUAUCUCUUGCAAUAGCUCCUGUCCUUCGGCGACGGAUAUGCAUCGUUGGAGGAUGCAUGAGGGGCUGCGGUGGUAGAGCUCCUUUUCAUCACCCGGUAAGACGAACGACUUGGCGCACCACGCCAGUCGCUGAGCUUCGGCCUUGUCGAGGGGUAGCUCUCCUUGGUGGAGAUAUUGCAGGUACGGGGUCUGCCAGUUUCGAUUAGGCGUGACCCCACUCCACUCUUCCUCGACGCGUAGUGCCUCACCCUCGGCGGCCGAGGAUACCUCGGGCUAGGCCGAGGCCUCCUCGGGCUCGGGCGUGUCGUCGGUCUUGACGGAGGGUUGAUGUAUGUCUCUGGAGAAGACGUCCGGGGGAACCGUUGUCCACCCCGAGGCUAUUUUAGCCAGCUCAUCCGCAGUCUCAUUGUACUGUCGAGCGAUGUGGUUGAGCUCGAGCCCAUAGAACUUGUCUUCCAGGCGCCGAACUUUAUCGCAGUAGGCCUCCAUCUUCGGGUCGCGGCAGUGGGAGUUCUUCAUGACUUGGUCAAUGACAAGCUGCGAGUCGCCACGAGCGUCAAGAUGCCAAACCCCUAGCUCAAUGGCGAUGCGCAACCCGUUAACCAGAGCCUCGUACUCGGCCACAUUGUUUGACACCUGGAAAUGGAGGCGCAGCACGUAGCGGAGAUGUUUCCCGAGGGGCGAGAUGAAGAGCAGGCCCGCGCCGGCUCCUGUUUUCAUCAGCGACCCAUCGAAGUACAUGGUCUAGAGUUCCGGUUGGACCGGAGCUGUUGGUAGCUGGGUGUCGACCCAUUCAGCCACGAAGUCCACCAAGACUUGGGACUUGAUGGCCUUCCGGGGAGUGAACGAGAUUGUCUCGCCCAUGAUCUCCACCGCCCACUUUGCAAUCCUACCUGAGGCCUCUCAGCCCUGGAUGAUCUCCCCCAGGGGGAAGGAUGACACCACAGUCACUGGAUGAGACUCGAAGUAGUGUCGCAACUUUCGCCGCGUCAGAAUUACCGCGUACAGUAGCUUCUGAAUUUGCGGGUAGCGGAUCUUGGUCUUAGAUAGCACUUCACUGAUGAAGUAGACCGGCCUCUGGACGAGCAGUGCAUGCCCUUCUUCUCGUCUCUCGACUACGAUCGCGACGCUGACCACCUGAGUGGUUGCGGCUAUGUAUAUCAAGAGGGCUUCUCCUGCAGCGGGGGGCACCAAGAUGGGCGCAUUUGUAAGGAGCGCCUUUAAGUUUCCGAGGGCUUCCUCGGCCUCGGGAGUCCAAGUGAAGCGCUCGGUCUUCCUUAAGAGGCGGUACAAGGGUAGGCCUUUUUCGCCAAGACGCGAGAUGAAGCGACUCAGAGCCGCAAGGCAUCCCAUGACCCUUUGUACUCCUUUCAAAUCUUUGAUAGGCCCAUGUUGGUGAUGGCCGCGAUUUUCUCCGGGUUGGCCUCGAUGCCCCGCUCGGAGACGAUGAACCCUAGGAGCAUGCCUCGGGGGACUCCAAAGACACACUUCUCGGGGUUGAGUUCACGCCCUUUGCUCUCAAACACUUGAAUGUCGUUUCAAGGUCAGAGAGGAGGUCGGAGGCUUUCCUCGUCUUGACCAUGAUGUCAUCGACGUAAGCCUCGACCAUUCGGCCGAUGUGCUCUCCGAACACGUGGUUCAUGCACCUUUGGUAUGUCGCAUCUGCAUUCCUCAAACCAAAUGGCAUAAUAAUAUAGCAGUACAUGCCAAAAGGUGUGAUGAAAGAAGUCGCGAGCUGGUCGGACUCUUUCAUCUUGAUUUGGUGAUACCCUGAGUAGGCGUCGAGGAAUGACAGGGUUUCACACCCAGCAGUGGAGUCCACAAUUUGAUCGAUGCGAGGCAGAGGGUAGGGAACCUUCGGACAUGCUUUGUUUAGACCAGUGUAGUCUACACACAUCCUCCAUUUCCCACCUUUCUUUUUCACAAGCACAGGGUUGGCUAACCAUUCAGGAUGGAAUACCUCUUUGAUGAACUCUGCAGCCAUCAGCUUGUGGAUCUCCUCGCCUAUGGCUCUGCGCUUUUCUUCGUCGAAACGGCGCAGAGGUUGCUUCACGGGUCAGGCACCGGCUCGGAUAUCCAAUGAGUGCUCGGCGACAUCCCUCGGUAUGCCGGGCAUGUCCGAGGGACUCCACGCAACACCUUGGCAUUUGCGCGGAGAAAGUCGACGAGCACUGCUUCCUAUUUGGGGUCGAGCUCGAAGCCGAUUCGGACUUGCUUGCAGGCGUCGUUGCUGGGGUCGAGAUGGACGGACUUAACCGCCUCUGCUGGCUCGAAGUUGCCGGCGUGGCGCUUCGCGUCAGGCACCUCCUUGGAGAGGCAUUCUAGGUCGGCGAUGAGGGCCUCGGACUCGGCGAGGGCCUCAGCGUACUCCACGCACUCCACGUCGCAUUCGUACGCGUGUCGGUACGUGGAUCCGACGGUGAUGACCCCGUUGGGGCCCGGCAUCUUGAGCUUGAGGUAGGUGUAGUUGGGGACGGCCAUGAACUUGGCGUAGCAUGGUCUCCCCAGCACCACGUGGUAGGUUCCUCGGAACCCGACCACCUCGAACGUGAGGGUUUCCUUUUGAAAGUUGGAGGGAGUUCCGAAGCAGACAGGCAGAUCGAGUUGUCCAAGGGGUUGGACGCGCUUCCCGGGGAUGAUCCCGUGAAAGGGCGCCGCACCGGCCCGAAUCGUGGACAGAUCGAUUUCCAAGAGCCCGAGGGUCUUGGCGUAGAUGAUGUUGAGGUUGUUGCCUUCGUCCAUGAGUACCUUGGUGAGCCUGGUGUUGCCGAUGAUGGGGUCGACAACGAGCGGGUACUUUCCUGGGCUCGGCACGCAGUCGGGGUGGUCACCCUGGUCGAAGGUGAUGGGCUUGUCGGACCAGUCUAGGUAGACUGGUGCCGCCACCUUUACCGAGCAGACCUCCCGACGCUCCUGCUUGUGGUGCCGAGCCGAGGCGUUCGCCACUUGCCCACCGUAGAUCAUGAAAAGCCGUGGACCUCGGGGAACUCCUCUGCCUUGUUGCCCUCCUUCUUGUCGUUGUCUUGGCCUUUGCCACCUUCGGCCGGGGGCCCAGCCUUAUGGAAGUAGCGCCGAAGCAUGACGCAUUCCUCAAGGGUGUGCUUGACGGGGCCCUGGUGAUAGGGGCACGACUCCUUGAGCAUCUUAUCGAACAGGUUGGCCCCUCCGGGAGGCUUCCGAGGGUUCCUGUGCUCGGCGGCAGCGACAAGAUCUGCGUCAGCGGCGUCGCUCUUUGCUUGCGACUUCUUCUUGGCCUUCUUCUUCGUGCCGCGCUCGGCAGACGCCUCGGGGACGUCUUCCUGCUGGCAUCCCUGAGGCUGCUUGUCCUUCCGGAAGAUGGCAUCGACCGCCUCCUGACCAGAGGCGAACUUGGUGGCGAUGUCCAUCAACUCGCUCGCUUUGGUGGGAGUCUUGCGGCCCAGUUUGCUCACCAGGUCGCGGCAAGUGGUGCCGGCGAGGAACGCCCCGAUGACAUCUGAGUCGGUGAUGUUGGGCAGCUCGGUGCGCUGCUUCGAAAAUCGCCGGAUGUAGUCUCGCAGGGAUUCCCCUGGCUGCUGGCGGCAACUUCGGAGAUCCCAAGAGUUACCAGGGCGCACGUAUGUGCCCUAGAAGUUUCCAGCGAAGGCUUUGACCAGGUCGUCCCAGUUGGAGAUCUGCGCAGGAGGCAGAUGCUCCAGCCAGGCUUGGGCGGCGUCGGAGAGGAACAGGGGGAGGUUGCGGAUGAUGAGGUUGUCAUCGUCCGUUCCACCCAGCUGGCAGGCCAGCCGAUAGUCCGCAAGCCACAGUUCCGGCCUCGUUUCCCCCGAGUACUUAGUGAUGGUAGUCGGGGCUCGGAACCGGGUCGGGAACGGCGCCCGUCGUAUGGCCCGGCUGAAGGCUUGCGGACCUGGUGGUUCGGGUGAGGGGCUCCGAUCCUCCUCACUGUCGUAGCGUCCCCCAUGCCUGGGGUGGUAGCCUCGGCGCACCUUCUCGUCGAGGCGGGCUCGACGGUCGCGGCGGUGGUGCUCGUUACCGAGGCGACCCGGGGCUGCAGGUGUUGCGCCCCGCGCGCACCCGGUGUGGACCGAGGCUUCCCGCAUGAAUCGGGAAGUUGCUGCGCGAUGCUCCGAGGGGCACCCUUGCCUUCGAGAGGCAGAGCUCUCGGCUCGUCGGACCACGGCGUCCUCCAGGAGAUUCUUGAGUUCUCCUUGGAUACACCGCCCCUCGGUGGUGGAUGGCUCCGGCAUCGCUCGGAGCAGUAUUGCCGCUGCAGCCAGAUUCUGGCCGACCCCACUGGAAGCCGGGGGCAGCCUUGCCCUGGCAUCGUCAGCGAUACAGCGCUGGACGUCCCGGGCCUGAUGACGCGCUUCUCCGGCGAGUGCUCGGCCUGCCCACUCCUGCUCGAUGUUUCGCCAGAGCUGCACAAGUUGUCCUGUUUCCUCAUCGAGCUUGGCUUGCAUCUCGCAGAUUUGCUCGAGCUGUGUGUCCUGACCCCCCGUAGGGACUGGGACCACAGCUAGCUCUCGCAGGAUGUCAACGCGAGGCGCAGGCCCAGGGGGAUCGUCAUCCUUCGGCAUACCAAGGUGGUUGCCUUCGUCGUGACCCCCUAGAUCUACGUGGAAACAUUCGCGACUUGGGCCACAACCCUCGUUGUCAAGGCUGUGGCCAUCAUCGGAGCAAUCGGAGAGGCAGUAGUCACAUGCGGUCAUGAAGUCUCGCAUGGCACUAGGAUUACCGAGUCUGCAGAAAUCCUGACCAGAGUCGGGCUCGUCUUCUUCCUCGGAACCCGGGGGCCCGUAGGUCGAGACGGCCGUCAGUCGGUCCCAGGUUGCCCACAUAUGGUACCCCGGAAGGUUAGGAUAUGCCUUUAUGAAAGCGCUCACCAAAGCGGGGUCGCUUGGUGGAUCGAAGCUAAAUCUAAAAGGCACAGGGUGGAAAACGGAUGGUACCUCUCGAUCGAUGAACGGUGACGAAGUCGCGUCGUGGGUGGACUGCACCGUUAUCUCAGGUACGAGGCUAACGCCCAGCAAGUCCUUCGCGAGCGUGCUGGCGUCAUCUGUCCGCUUGGGGCUGGCAUGUUACGGGGAAACGACACCCGCCGUCGUCUCAGGCGCGAGGUCAACGCCUGACAUGUCCCCCGCUGGGGUGCCGGCGUCAUCGACUCGCUCGACAGCCGAUGAGGUACCGCCUCCUGCCUGGCCACGGUUGCCUCGCCUCCUCCUCCUGCGGCGAGGAAAGCGGCGAGACAAACCCGGAUGCUGCUCUUCCUCCAUGGGGGGAAAACGUCGUCGUGUCCGCCGCCGCCUGGCGAGCUAACGGCCGUCGUUGUCGCUGUCGUGCUGCGGGGGAAGGAGUACCAUGUCGUAGCUGCCGUCGAGGGACAUGAACUCGAGGCUCCCGAAGUGGAGCAGCGUCCUGGGCUGAAGAGGUUGCUGGAGACUACCCAUCUGGAGCUCAACGGGAAGUUGUUCGUCAACACGCAGCAGGCCCCUACCUGGCGCGCCAACUGUCGGCGUUUCGACCUCGGGGGGUCCCUGGACCGACGAGUAAAAUUGUCGCUGCGUGCCCCAGCCCAGAUGGGUUGGCGCGAGAUGGAACACAAGGGGGGAAAACCGCGGCUCGUGUUAUCCUGCGCCAGGGGGAUGCGCUUGCAGUAGGGGUUAUAAGCGUUCGUGAGGGAGAGAGAGAGUGAGCCUGUUCGUCAGCCCGUCCUCCCGCGCGACCCUCCUACAUGAGGGCCCUGGACCUUCCUUUUAUAGAUGCCAGGAGAGGGUCCAGGUGUACAAUGGGGGUGUAGCUAUGCGCUAACGUGUCCGGCAGAGAGGUGCCAGAGCCCUGUGUACAUGCCAACGUGGCUAUCGGAGAGGUGCUAGAGCCCUGUGUACGCGGUGUCGUGGCCGUCGGAGGAGCGCCCGAGUCCUGUAGAAGCACAGUUAUCGGGGCCGCUGGGAUGUUGCUGACGUCUCCUUGCUUCCGUAGGGGGCUGAGAACCACUGUCGUCAUGGACGCACGCGGGGAGCCAUCAUUACCUGCUACCGGGGCGAGCCUGGAUGGGACGCCGGUCUUGUUCCCCCGUAGCCUGAGCUAGCUAGGGGUAGGGUAAUGAUGUAUUCCCCGUGGAGCGGUCGGUCCGAGCCCAAGGUCGGGCGAGGCGGAGACUCCUCCUGAGGCCGAGGCCGGGGUCGAGUGAGGAAGCGAUUCCUCCCGAGGUCGGGUUGAGGUCGAGCCCUGGGGUCGGGCGAGGCGGAGACCUCCUCCUGAGGCCGAGGCCCAAGGUCGGGCGAGGCGGAGCUUCCUGUUGCGCCUGAGGCUGGACUUAGCUGUUGUCAGCCUCACCAUGGUGGGUGGCACAGCAGUCGGAGAGGGGCGAGCGACGCUGUUUUCCUAUCAGGUCGGUCAGUGGGAGGGCGAAGUGACUGCGGUCACUUCGACCUUGCCGACUGAGGCACGUGUGUCAGGAUAAGGCGUUAGGCGAUCCUCACAUUGAAUGUGCCUGCGAUACGGUCGGUUGGUGAGGCGAUUUGGCCAAGGUUGCUUCACAACGAAGCCUGCCCGAGCUGGGCUUCGGGCGAGUCGAGGGUGCGCCCGUUGCUUGAGGAGGCCCUCGGGCGAGGCGUGAAUUCGCCUGGGACUACUGUUCCCGCCCGAGGCUGGGCUCGGGCGAGGCGAGAUCGCGUCCCUUGAGUAGACGAAGCCUUGACCCGAAUUGCGCCCAUCAGUCUCUGCAGCUUGUGCUGAUGGUGGUUACCAGCCGUGUUUAGGAGUGUUGGGGGUACCCCUAAUUACGGUACCUGACAAGUGUUAAAUUGGUCUAGAUUAAUUAGUAAUUGAUCAUAUUGUAGUAUAUAUAUGCAUAUUGUUUUUUGACUCACAAGCUAAACGAGCUAACUAAAGCUCGCAAUCGAGCCGAGUCGAGCUAACUUUAUCUUAACGUGAUAGCUCGACACUAGUACAAAGAAGCUUUAUAGAGGCGGUUCUAAAUAUAUCUUUACUGACGUGUUUAGAACCGCCAGUGCUACAGCCCAAUAGAAAUAAAAAUUUAUAUAGCCAGUUGUUUAUGUUUCCUAAAAAAGAUUAGUACUAACGAUUUUCUUACCUCAAUCGUCAGUGGAAAUUGAUUUUCACUAGAAGUUGUGUUAAUUAAGAACCGCUAGUAGAAAUCGAUUUCCACUCGCGAUUGAGGUAAGAAAAUCGUUAGUACUAAUCUUUUUCCGGAAACGUAAACAAGGUUUUAAAAAUAGAAAAAUAACAUUUUAAUUAGGGGAGGCCUCACCCGCCUAAUUCGCGGCAUUUUUCGCGCAAAACUCUUUGCACGCUAUGCAUGCCGGUCAAAAUCGAACCCCCAACCUUACCCUCAUGUAUAGCUUGCUCUACAACUCAAGCAAUCGCUUACUUCAUGUCUACAUACUAUUUUUGUUGCCCACAUAUUAUAGCACAAUGAGUGUAAAUUGAUUGCAUGAGGCCGUAAACAAAUUCAAACAAAAAAGUUGUCAACUACAAAGUUGAAUAACUUUUAAAGUUCUACAACUUUUAUUUUGCUACUUUUUGAGUCCAAGGUCAUUUGCAAAAUUUGCAUUGUAAAUUUGUCGAAUUAAGAUGCAAAUUUUGAGAGCUGAAAUAAUUUCAAAUAAAAAGUUAUCAACUACAAAGUUUCGUAACUUUUAAAGGUCUACAACUUUUUUGGGUGCUUUUUCAUACGAGAUCAUUUUUAAAACUCAAAAAAAUAGGAUAAUAAUGAUUUCUAGUGUUGGUUUCUUAAGAAAACUACAUGCAGAAAUCAUAUUUAUAUAGGAGAUUCCUUAAGAAAACCCCUAGUAGAAAUCAUGGAUUUACAUGCGAUUUAAGGAACCACCUAUACAAAUAUGAUUUCUAUAGGUGAUUUUCUUAAGGAAACCGUGUGUAGAAAUGCACGAUUUGCAAUGAUGGAUUUUUAGAAAACCGCAUAUAAAAUGUGUUUUCACUGGCGGUUCUUGAGUUGAGACGACAAUUUUUUCACAGGCGCUUGAUAACUAAAGCCGCCUGUAAAAAUUAGAUGUUAUCAUAGAUCGACAUAGAGCCGUUUUGUACUACUGCGAGGUCAAUCGAGCUAAGCGGGCUCGUUAUCCAGCCCUAUCAGUGGCUCUCUCCGACACCCGUUGGCUUCUAGUUUUGUGUGUGACUAGUGGCUGACGCGCGCCUUGCGCGCGUUAUGUCUGGGUGUAAAUCAGUAUUGUUAUGCAAAUAGAACACAAUUGUAAAUACUGAUAUGAAUUCUAAAUUGUUUAUAGUCAAAAAUACUGCAUUUAUCACUUACCUUUGGAUAGUAGGUUGCACAGUUUAAAGGCUAAUUGGACAAAAAUGAUGACAUAUGUAUUUUUUUUCCUUGAACACGCACUUAACAAAAGUUUAGACUCAAAGAUGGACCAAAUACAACACCUCUUUAUGGAGGCCAGUAGCAGGCAUACAAAAAAAGGUCCAUCAAAAAGAAAAAUAGUUUUGUCUAUCAUUCAUGGUGGUCCUUAUGGUUUUGUCUAUCAUUCAUGGUGGUCCUUCUGGAUUGUAAAUUCUUUGAUGCAUAGUGGUUCCUGUUUGAUCAUGUAAAAUGAAUGGUAAAAUUGAUAAAAUUGUACCAUUCACCGAUACAAUUGAUAUAAUCGUGUCAUUCAUUUUAUUGUGGUUGAUACAACUUCGUUGGUGUGAUUCCUGUUUUGUCAUUCAAAUGAUUCCUGUGAUUCAUUUUACCAUUAAACCUGUAUCAACUUUAUCGGUGAGGUGAAUAGAACGUGUGUAGGUAUGUAUAUAUUCAUUGAAAGUAUUUUUUUGUACUGGAUGUUAAUUCUACUAUGUAUGUGUAUAUAUAUAUGUGUGUGUAUUUGUAGUAAGCAAAUAUCUGUAUUGAUCGGUAGGGAGUUAAUUGUAUAGAAGCUCACCUUUUUGGAGGAGAUUGAAGUGGAGGGUCAACCUUCUUUUCUUUAUCUGUGAGAGUUUCUUGUAGCUGGUAUAGAAUGAAAUGAGUGAGCUGUAUAAAGAAGUCUGAUGUAAUGUAUGUGCGACUAUUGUUAUUUCUAAUGCAAUGUAAACAAAAUUUUAAUAGACACUGGUCCACACACAUUGUUUUCUAAUGUAUUGAUAGUUUAUAAAAGCAUACGAAUGUUACCCUUUUUGUUUAAUGUUUAAGAUAAUUGUUCACUUAAUGAAAUUAUAAAGAAAUAGCUUGUUCAACAUUUAUUCUAAAAGAGUGAUGCAUUGUAGAUGAUCUGGUAAGCAUUGUUUAUGAAGAUGCUAGGAACAAAAUUGAAGGCUCUUGAUUGUAUUUUCCCCAAAAAGUGAGAAAGGAAAAAAUAAAUAGGAAUAUAUGUGUGGUUGUUGUCUUUCCUGACUGAUUUCAGUGUACAUUUCUUUACUGACAUAGUUUUUUCAUCCUUUCUUAGUUGCAUAGAAUAGAUAUGGGAACAUUGUGUAGGCACAGAAGCAUCCUGUAAUUUGACAUUUACAAAGUAGUUAGUAUAAAUUGAAAAUCUUUAUUUCGAGUAGAGGUUGUAGGAGUUGCUACUUGAUCGUGCAGUUAGCAUUGUUCAUUGGUGCAAAUGAUUGAUGCUAUUGUCACCUAUGGAAGAUAUUCUUGCAUUUGGUUUGCCAAAAUAUAAUAUGUAAAGAUACAAGAUUUUUUUUGACCAAUAUGGUCCAGAAUAGCAGGUAUUGCGUGGAAUCGCCUGCAGCUUUAGGUAAUCAUUCAGAUUAUUUAGAAAAAAUCAUAGAUGAUAUACUUAGAGUUUUUUUCUUUUUGGUUGAUGAUUCUCAGAUUCGUAGUUAAUUAUUUUAUUUUUCGUAUGAUGAAGUGGAUAAGUAGUAGCAAUAACAUUGUAGCAAUGAAAAUAUGAACCAGCUAAUCCAUAUAUAAUAUCAAUGAAAUUUAAAGUGGUGAGCGUGGAAAACUUGCAAACCUUGACAUCCCUGCACUCGAGAGGUGGCUUUAGAUUGCUUUGGAUAAAAUUUUUGAUACGAUUGGCUCGUUUAUGGUGCCAAAAAAUGGAUAGAGACUACAGAAUGUGCUGCCCUCUUCCGCUUCCGCCCCUUUGGCAGCUAAAGCUUUGCUCCCACGCCUAAAAUACAUACAAAAUGAGAAGAACAAAAUAAUCAAUUUAUUUCAGCGUAUGAACGAAGGAAUAUGGAUUAUAUAAGUCUAGAAGCAAAUUGAAAGAAGAUAAAAAAAUACCUUGAUCCGGCGGUUCGCAAAUCGCAAGCAGCGAUUGGUCACACAUGAUCCUAGCGCUGGUAGCCGAUGACCCCUGUGUUCAAUGAUUGAGGCCCUAGUGAUGUACGCAAAUGGUGCAGGCCACAGGAGAUGAGAAAGUGGACAUCGCAUUCCCCACUAAAAAAUGGCCUCGCGCGACAGAGCUCGAGGAGGCGGCGGAGGUGGAGGAGCCUACAAGCGGCAGCGGUGCAGGGGACAGCGGGAAGCGGGCAAUAGCGGGCGAGACGGCGAUGGCGGUGGCAUGCUGAGGCUGAGCGUGCGGCCGAGUGGGAGCGCCGGAGAGAAGCCUACGGCAGUGGUGGUGGGGGCGUGACGCGAUGCGAGGAGGGGGUGCUUCUCCUACCUCAGAUUGGGUCCUCCGGGCGCACACACGUGGGAGGAGGACGAAGCACCAAGGAGCAGAGGCGACGACGCUCGCGGGGUCCAGAACCUUCACGACAAACGGAGACGGAAGACGCCGGACACGGUGGUGACGUGUGCGUGGGGUGCGGGCGGACACCAAGAUGCAGGUUCACUAAAAUGGAGAUUCUGGGCACAACACUAGGGAGGCGCUCUUGCUCUCGUGGGUUCUCGAACCUUCACGGCACAUGGAGACACCGAGCCGCUAGGGAGCGUCCACGAAAAAUCCGACGGCCACCUGAAUUUCAGACGACGUGGAUGGUCUAGCCGAC